CCUGAACCGGAAGAGGAAGCAAGGAGAGCGGCGAGCGCCAGGAAUGCUGGGAGUCGUGGUUCUGGCUGCCGUUCUGAGGCGUUAUCUCACCUGGUGGUCAAAACAAACUGUGAGCAGCCCAAAUGGACUAAGACAAGACCCAAACCAAAAGGCUGUCUUGGAAACUUGCCAGCAAGCUGUUCCACACUCUCUACCUUUGGGCUCACACAGCCAUGAACCUUUUGAGUUACCAGCCUCUGUGACUGAUGAUACUGCAAAUGGAGCCUCCUGCAAAGGGAGGCAGCUUCUACUCAAGAGGCCCUACCCCUUGAGGCUUCAGAUUCAUCAUCUCCCCAACAUGACUACAGGGCCAUGUCCACCUUUCUACAUCUGGCAUAUUAUCUGAACAGAUUUAGACCCUCAGAACAUACAGAGGACAUCGUACUGAUUUAUUAUAAGAAGAGCAUCAUGCUGAUGGGACCAGGCGAACGUGAGUUGAAACCCUGAGCCUGCUUCAGCUGUGAAGUCACCUGGUC